rnacentral:rRNA from 1 species
UUAAGUGAAUAAGGGCGCACGGUGGAUGCCUUGGCACUAGGAGCCGAUGAAGGACGGGACUAACACCGAUAUGCUUUGGGGAGCUGUACGUAAGCUAUGAUCCAGAGAUUUCCGAAUGGGGGAACCCAACAUCUUUAAUAGGAUGUUACGAUUGUGUGAAUACAUAGCACAUUCGAGGUAGACGCAGAGAACUGAAACAUCUAAGUACCUGCAGGAAGAGAAAGAAAAUUCGAUUCCCUGAGUAGCGGCGAGCGAAACGGGAAAAGCCCAAACCAGCAAGCUUGCUUGUUGGGGUUGUAGGACUCCAAUAUGGUAGUUCUUUCAGAUAGUCGAAUGACUUGGAAAAGUCAGUCAAAGAGGGUAAAAACCCCGUAGACGAAAUGUGGAAGACACCUAGGAGGAUCCUGAGUACGGCGGAACACGAGAAAUUCCGUCGGAAUCCGGGAGGACCAUCUCCCAAGGCUAAAUACUCCCUAGUGACCGAUAGUGAACCAGUACCGUGAGGGAAAGGUGAAAAGCACCCCGGAAGGGGAGUGAAAUAGAACCUGAAACCGUGUGCCUACAACAAGUCAAAGCCCGUUAAUGGGUGAUGGCGUGCCUUUUGUAGAAUGAACCGGCGAGUUACGAUUGCAUGCGAGGUUAAGUUGAAGAGACGGAGCCGCAGCGAAAGCGAGUCUGAAUAGGGCGUUUGAGUAUGUAGUCGUAGACCCGAAACCAUGUGAUCUACCCAUGUCCAGGUUGAAGGUGCGGUAAAACGCACUGGAGGACCGAACCCACGUACGUUGAAAAGUGCGGGGAUGAGGUGUGGGUAGCGGAGAAAUUCCAAACGAACUUGGAGAUAGCUGGUUCUCUCCGAAAUAGCUUUAGGGCUAGCCUCGGAAUUGAGAAUGAUGGAGGUAGAGCACUGUUUGGACUAGGGGCCCAUCUCGGGUUACCGAAUUCAGAUAAACUCCGAAUGCCAUUCAUUCAUAUCCGGGAGUCAGACUGUGAGUGAUAAGAUCCAUAGUCGAAAGGGAAACAGCCCAGACCACCAGCUAAGGUCCCAAAAUAUAUGUUAAGUGGAAAAGGAUGUGGGGUUGCACAGACAACUAGGAUGUUGGCUUAGAAGCAGCCACCAUUUAAAGAGUGCGUAAUAGCUCACUAGUCGAGUGACCCUGCGCCGAAAAUGUACCGGGGCUAAACAUAUUACCGAAGCUGUGGAGUACACCUUUAGGUGUAUUGGUAGGAGAGCGUUCUAAGGGCGUUGAAGGCAGAUCGUGAGGACUGCUGGAGCGCUUAGAAGUGAGAAUGCCGGUAUGAGUAGCGAAAGACAGGUGAGAAUCCUGUCCACCGAAUGACUAAGGUUUCCUGGGGAAGGCUCGUCCGCCCAGGGUUAGUCGGGACCUAAGCCGAGGCCGACAGGCGUAGGCGAUGGAUAACAGGUUGAUAUUCCUGUACCCGUUGUUUUUGUUUGAGCAAUGGAGGGACGCAGGAGGCUAAGGAAUGCAGACGAUCGGAAAUGUCUGUCCAAGCAGUAAGUCUGAAGAGGAGUCAAAUGCUUCUUUUCUUAAGGACAAGCUGUGAUGGGGAGGGAAAUAAUAGUACCGAAGUUCCUGAUGUCACACUGCCGAGAAAAGCUUCUAGUGAGAAAACAGCGGCCCGUACCGCAAACCGACACAGGUAGUCGAGGAGAGAAUCCUAAGGUGAGCGAGAGAACUCUCGUUAAGGAACUCGGCAAAAUGACCCCGUAACUUCGGGAGAAGGGGUGCUGAUCAUACGAUCAGCCGCAGUGAAUAGGCCCAAGCGACUGUUUAUCAAAAACACAGGUCUCUGCAAAAUCGUAAGAUGAAGUAUAGGGGCUGACGCCUGCCCGGUGCUGGAAGGUUAAGAGGAGUGCUUAGCGCAAGCGAAGGUACGAAUUGAAGCCCCAGUAAACGGCGGCCGUAACUAUAACGGUCCUAAGGUAGCGAAAUUCCUUGUCGGGUAAGUUCCGACCCGCACGAAAGGCGUAACGAUUUGGGCACUGUCUCAACGAGAGACUCGGUGAAAUUUUAGUACCUGUGAAGAUGCAGGUUACCCGCGACAGGACGGAAAGACCCCAUGGAGCUUUACUGUAGUUUGAUAUUGAGUGUCUGUACCGCAUGUACAGGAUAGGUAGGAGUCGUAGAAAUCGGAACGCUAGUUUCGAUGGAGGCGCUGGUGGGAUACUACCCCUGCGUUAUGGCCACUCUAACCCGCACCACUAAUCGUGGUGGGAGACAGUGUCAGAUGGGCAGUUUGACU